rnacentral:misc_RNA from 1 species
UGGUGCAAGCAUAUAAAAGAUAAAGCUUGACGCUCCUUAGGGGUGAUGACGGGGAAUAAGAUAAGGCGAAAGCUACUACUUAUUUCCCAUAAAGUGCCACAGAGACGAGUUAUGCAGAAAUGCAUAGG